AGAAGCUUGCUUCUCUUGAGAGCGGCGGACGGGUGAGUAAAGCCUAGGAAUCUGCCUGGUAGUGGGGGAUAACGUUCGGAAACGGACGCUAAUACCGCAUACGUAGCUACGGGAGAAAGCAGGGGACCUUCGGGCCUUGCGCUAUCAGAUGAGCCUAGGUCGGAUUAGCUAGUUGGUGAGGUAACGGCUCACCAAGGCGACGAUCCGUAACUGGUCUGAGAGGAUGAUCAGUCACACUGGAACUGAGACACGGUCCAGACUCCUACGGGAGGCAGCAGUGGGGAAUAUUGGACAAUGGGCGAAAGCCUGAUCCAGCCAUGCCGCGUGUGUGAAGAAGGUCUUCGGAUUGUAAAGCACUUUAAGUUGGGAGGAAGGGCAUUAACCUAAUACGUUAGUGUUUUGACGUUACCGACAG
rnacentral:rRNA from 1 species